UGUAGCUUUGGUUGUAUUGAUAUCUCAUACAGAUCAAAUAAAUGACCUAGUUUUUGGUCAUGAGAGUGCUUUAAAAGGGUUACACAAAGAUGCUGUCAUCAUUCUCCAUUCAACCAUACUACCUGCUCAUAUACAGAAGAGGAUUUGGAGAGAGUUUUUGUAGUUCAUAUAUAUGUCUCUAAGGGAAUGUCAGAGGUUUUGAAUCGCAAAAUAAUGGUAAGAUUAUAUAUCUCAUAUCCUAUUUCUUCCUCACAUAAGUAGAGGAUCAUUUUGCUUUUGUUUUGCUAUUUUAUAGCUGGCUGAAGCUGAUAUUUCUAUAAUACGCAGAUUAUUUCAUCAAGACAGUAAAUUUGUUUGUGCUAGGUGUUUAACCCAAUUUAACAGGGAUUGGCACAGGGGAAUGGCCCUUCUUCUUUGUUUAUUUAUGUUAGGUGUUCUAAUAUCAUAUUAGAUGAUGUUAUUGUUAAUAUCUACUUUUCUUUUUUAAAUUGCAGCAAAAUUAAAAUGGUAAUAGAGCUGCUUGAGGGCAUUCAUUUUUUUCUUCUGUGGAGGCCAUUUCUCUUGGUGCCCAAGCUGGUAUUCAUCCAUGGAUAAUUUAUGACAUUAUUUCUAAUGCUGCUGGAAAUUCAUGGGUUUUCAAGAAUCAUGUUCCCCAGUUGCUAAGGGAUAAUCAAACCAAACAUCUCUUGAAUACUUUUGUUCAAAAUUUGUUUGCUGAUCUGCUAUUCUUCUGGUGCUGCUGUGAUGUUGCUGCUGUUGCUGAGAUGCUGUCGUGAUGCUGCUGUGAUGGUGUUUGUUACGAUGAGGUGCUGCUAUGUUAUUGUUGGAUGUUUGCUGGUGUUGUUGAUGUUUGGAAGGGUGUAGGACUUUUUGUCCAAUCUGUAAUAGAUCAGGUUUUCAUUAAUGGGGGUUGUCAUUAGGUGUAAGUUCGGGCAACUGCUGGUGUUUUGGCUGGAAGGGU